AACGAACGCUGGCGGCGUGGAUAAGACAUGCAAGUCGAACGAUCACCAUCGAGUAGCAAUAUUUGGUGGUGGGAGUGGCGCAAGGGUGCGUAACACGUGGGUAAUUUGCCGUAAAGUCUGGGAUAACUUGCUGAAAGGCGAGCUAAUACCGGAUGUGAUUGCUGGAGGGCAUCCUCUAGCACUUAAAGUUGGGGACCGUAAGGCCUGACACUUUUUCGAUAAGCCCGCGGCCUAUCAGCUAGUUGGUGAGGUAACGGCUCACCAAGGCUUAGACGGGUAGCUGGUCUGAGAGGACGACCAGCCACACUGGAACUGAGACACGGUCCAGACACCUACGGGUGGCAG
rnacentral:rRNA from 1 species